GGAACCAUCUCUAUAGUCAAGCUUGACAGUCACUACCAAACGUUUUUGAAAAUGCAAGCUGCAGGGAUGGUUGUGAAGCCUGUAUUGCUAAUCUUCGGAGCAGAGUGGAAGAAGGGGAAAACUCUUGACGAGUUUCAGUAGGAAAGAACAGAGUAGCCAUACAUUUCAAUCUAGCAUAGAUGAAGUAGGAGACCAGGCAAAUGUUUCAUGCAAUGGUGUGACAAGUCAUAUGUAUUAUAAGAAAUAAUCA
rnacentral:lncRNA from 1 species